rnacentral:rRNA from 1 species
CCUACGGGGGGCAGCAGUGAGGAAUAUUGGUCAAUGGGCGCGAGCCUGAACCAGCCAAGCAGCGUGAAGGAUGACUGCCCUAUGGGUUGUAAACUUCUUUUAUACAGGAAUAAAUUUAAGCACGUGUGUCUUUUUGUAUGUACUUUACGAAUAAGGAUCGGCUAACUCCGUUCCAGCAGCCGCGGUAAUACGGAGGAUCCGAGCGUUAUCCGGAUUUAUUGGGUUUAAAGGGGGCGUAGCUGGGUUGUUAAGUUAGUUGUGAAAUUUUGAGGCUUAAACGUCAAAUUGCAAUGUAUACUGGCAACCUAGAGUGCAGUUGAGGUAGGCGGAAUUCAUGGUGUAGCGGUGAAAUGCUUAGAUAUAACGAAGAA